CUGUCCUCCAACUGCCCCACCCAGCUGACAAGAGUUCCUGUCACCAGGCCACCCUCUCUGUCUGGGGCCCUUGAGGGAGCCCAGAAUCCUAAGUGGCUGGAGCACUGGGGGACAACCAGGUAGAGCCCUCGCUGGACCAAGUCCUUCAGGAGCGAGAUGAAGCCAUUGCCAAGAAGCAGGCAGUGGAGGCUGAGCUGGACACAUGCAAAGCCAAGUUACGAGCUGUGGAGGCCCAGCUGCUGGAGAUCCUGGAGGAGAAACUGAGGCUGAGGCAGGAGGUGGAGGCCUGGGAGGAGGAUAUGCAGCAGAUGGUGAGGGAGCGGGUCGACAGUCAGCUGCAGAGAGAGUCCAGGGACACUGAGAGAGUCCCCACGGAACCUGGAGCAGCCAGGGCACGAGUCCCAUUCCCCUUGGGUCGGUGGGGGCGCUGGUGGUGAGACAACUCAGCCAUGAACCUUGAGAGCAAUGUCUUUAUUCAUUAAAACUUGAGGUCUGACCACCUUUGCA